ACUCCAGUGGCCUAGUGCUUAGAGCAUCCCCCUCGGAUGCGGAAGGUUGUUGGUUCAAACCCUAGCCGAGUC